CCUUAGAGUUUGAUCCUGGCUCAGAAUUAACGCUGGCAGAGUGCAUAACACAUGCAAGUCGAGCGGGACACUUGUUGUAGCAAUACAGUAGGUGUCUAGCGGCAGACGAGUGAGUAACGCGUAAGAAACCUGCCCCCGAGAGGCGAACAACGGCCCGAAAGGGUCGCUAAUGCGCCGUACUAUCCAGAGACGGCAUCGUUUUUGGAUGAAAGGCCCGCAAGGGCCGCUCAGGGAGGGUCUUGCGCCCCAUCAGCUAGUUGGCGGUGUAACGGACCACCAAGGCUAUGACGGGUACCCGGCCUGAAAGGGCGGACGGGCACGAAGGCACUGAGACACGGGCCUUACUCCUACGGGAGGCAGCAGUGGGGAAUUUUGGACAAUGGGCGAAAGCCUGAUCCAGCAACUCUGCGUGAGGGACGAAGUCCUUCGGGAUGUAAACCUCUUUUGUCAGGGAAGAAUACCCGCAAGGGUUUGACGGUACCUGGCGAAUAAGCCACGGCUAACUACGUGCCAGCAGCCGCGGUAAGACGUAGGUGGCGAGCGUUAUUCGGAAUUACUAGGCGUAAAGCGAGUGUAGGCGGGUGCCUAAGUCCGUCGUGAAAUCUCCCGGCUCAACUGGGAGGGGUCGAUGGAUACUGGGUGUCUGGAGUGGGGUAGGGGGCAUUGGAAUUCCCGGUGUAGCGGUGAAAUGCGUAGAUAUCGGGAGGAACGCCUAUGGCGAAAGCAGAUGCCUGGGCCCUUACUGACGCUNAGACUCGAAAGCUAGGGGAGUAAACAGGAUUAGAUACCCUGGUAAUCCUAGCUGUAAACGAUGACAACUAGGCGUGGGAGGUAUCGACCCCUUCCGUGCCGUCGCUAACGCAUUAAGUUGUCCGCCUGGGGAG
rnacentral:rRNA from 1 species